rnacentral:rRNA from 1 species
UACGAGGGGGGCAAGCGUUGUUCGGAAUUAUUGGGCGUAAAGGGCGCGUAGGCGGUGCGGUAAGUCUGAUGUGAAAUCUCCGGGCUCAACUCGGAGUCUGCAUCAGAAACUGCCGUGCUUGAGUGUGGGAGAGGUGAGUGGAAUUCCCGGUGUAGCGGUGAAAAUGCGUAGAUAUCGGGAGGAACACCUGUGGCGAAAAGCGGCUCACUGGACCACAACUGACGCUGAGGCGCGAAAAGCUAGGGG